rnacentral:tRNA from 1 species
GUUUAAGUAGUUUAAAAAAAACAUUAUAUUUUCAAUAUAAAAAUAAAUAAAUUUUCUUAAAUU